AGUUCAGUCAUGGCUCAGAUUGAACGCUGGCGGGAUGCUUUACACAUGCAAGUCGGGCAGCAGCACGGACUUCAGUCACCAGUGGCGAGUGGCGAACAGGUGGUAAUAUCGGAACGUGCCUGGUAGCCAGGGAUAACUGCGAAGCGUAGCUAAUACUACGCAUGCGCCCUUCGGGGAAAGCGGGGGGACCUUCGGGCCUCGCACACAAUGGAAACGGCCGAUAUCGGAUUAGCUGGUUGGUGGGGUAACGGCUCCUGGGCGACGAUCCGUAGCUGGUUUUGAGAGGACGACCAGCCACACUGGGACUGAGACACGGCCCAGACUCUACCUGGAGGCAGCAGUGAAAUUUUGGACAAUGAAACCUGAUCCCAGCCAUCCGCGUGCGAUGAAGGCCUUCGGGUUGUGAAAGCACUUUUGGCAGGAAAGAAACGGCACGGGAUAAUACCCCGUGCAACUGACGGUACCUGCAGAAUAAGCACCGGCUAACUACAUUGCCAGCAAGCCGCGGUAAUACGUAGGGUGCAAGCGUUAAUCGAUUACUGGGCGUAAAGCGUGCGCAGGCGGUUCGGAAAGAAGAUGUGAAAUCCAGAGCUUAACUUUGGAACUGCAUUUUAACUACCGAGCUAGAGUGUGUCAGAGGGAGGUGGAAUUCCGCGAUGUAGCAGUGAAAUGCGUAGAUAAGGAAGAACACCGAUAGCGAAGGCAGCCUCCUGGGAUAACACUGACGCUCAUGCACAGCGUGGGGAGCGAAACAGGAUUAGAUACCCUGGUAGUCCGCCUAAACGAUGUCAGCUAGCUGUUGGGGCCUUCGGGCCUUGGUAGCGCAACUAACGGCAGUUGACCGCCUGCAAGAUACGGUCGCAAGAUUAAAACUCAAGGAAUUGACGGGGACCCGCACAAGCGGUGGAUGAUAUGGAUUAAUUCGAUGCAACGCGAAAAACCUUACCUACCCUUGACAUGUCUGGAAUCCCGAAGAGAUUUGGGAGUGCUCGCAAGAGAACCGGAACACAGGUGCUGCAUGGCUGUCGUCAGCUCGUGUCGUGAGAUGUUGGGAGUUAAAGUCCACAACGAGCGCAACCCUUGCCAUUAGUUGCUACAAAAGGGCACUCUAAUGGGGCUGCCGGUGACAAACCGGAGGAAGGUGGGGAGUGGCGUCAAGUCCUCGUAGCCCUUAUGGGUAGGGCUUCACACGUCAUACAAUGGUCAGGGACAGAGGGUCGCCAACCCGCGAGAGGCCAAUCAGAAACCCGAUCGUAGUCCGGAUCGCAGUCUGCAACUCCGACUGCAUUGGAAGUCAGAAUCGCUAGUAAUCGCAUGGUCAGCAUGUCGCGGUGAAUACGUUCCCGGGUGCUUGUACACCGCCCGUCACACCAUGGGGAGUGGGUUUUGCAGAAGUAGUUAGCCUAUUAACCGUAAAGGAGGGCGAUUACCACGGUAAGUUCGCUGACUGGGGGUGAAGUCAUAUUUCAAGGUAG
rnacentral:rRNA from 1 species